rnacentral:misc_RNA from 1 species
GUAGCCUUCGUAGUGACCUGCGGAGGAUCAUUAUUGAAUGAACGUGAGCAGGGUUGUCGCUGGCCUCUGUCAUAGGAGGCAUGUGCACGCCUUGUUCAUUUCCAUCUUCACACCUCUGUGCACUUCUCAUGGGUUGGGUUACGCYGUUGCACAAAUGGCAAAGCCUGUCUCAUGUGUUUAUCAUACACCAUUUGUUUGUUAUAGAAUGUCUACUAUUUUGUGCAUGAAUGGCAUAAUAAAUAAUACAACUUUCAGCAACGGAUCUCUUGGCUCUCGCAUCGAUGAAGAACGCAGCGAAAUGCGAUAAGUAAUGUGAAUUGCAGAAUUCAGUGAAUCAUCGAAUCUUUGAACGCACCUUGCGCUCCUUGGUAUUCCGAGGAGCAUGCCUGUUUGAGUGUCAUGGUAUUCUCAACCCUUCUGUCUUUUUUGAAUAAAAAGAGGCAGCCGGGCUUGGACUUGGAGGUUUUUUGCCGGUGUUUCAAUUUUUUUUUUGAACGCGUCCUCCUCUGAGAUGUAUUAUGUUGGAUGUGAAUGAUGGUGGUUCAAGAUGAUUGUUGGCUGCGUUGCUUCAUCUUGGUCAUCAUCUUGAUCAUGCUUCUCAUUGGCUGCGACGACAUCAUCUUCUGAUCAUCUGACCUCUCAUCUAGUACGACUACCUGAAGAACCUUAAUCAUAUAA